GUUGACCUUUCAUGACUCAGAAGAAUUGCAAGUGGCCCAAGACGCUGAGAUAUGUUUGCUGAAGUCAGGAGAACUGAUAAGGCGAUGCCCCUGGCUCCUGUACCGUUGAUCUCUCGGCAGCUUUUGUGCUAUCUUUGUUCGCUGACGAAGACAGAGACCAUGAUGGUUCAUGAAGCGAGUACACCAACCUGCUGAUGCGACAAACAUCGAUGGCUUUACUGACUUGUAUUUGUCAUCUUUCGACAUUUGCAGAACACACAGACGAAUUCCAUUUCUAGUGACAAUGUACCCAUUUUGUCAACAUUCAACAACCCAAUUACUGAGAUCUUUCUCCAGCUCAGGAAAUGAAUCGCACCUCGUUGGACAUUUUUUCUUGCUUCUUGGCAUGUCUUUUAGUGUUGUUUUAUUUUUUCACCAUUCUUUUACUUGCUUCUCAUUGAUACAGAAUUCACAAGCAGCGGCACAAUUAUUGUUUGCUUCUGCAUAUUCAAGUUUGAAUGCUGCGUGAUAAGCAGACCUUUUUCUUUUGAUUUCACCGUUGUUCAUUUUAAAUACUAGUAUGAAAAUAGAUUAUUAUUAUUGUAGUUUAUAGAUUUUGUAGGACUUUAUAUAGGAAUGUCACCUGCUUUAUCACUGUCAAAUUAUUAUUGUUCUUUGUUUAUUUCAAAGCAGCCCUGUAGAUUGGCAUGUCUGUGGGGAUAACAGGCUAUUUCAAUUUUAUUCAGUAUUCCAUCGAUUCUGCGCAUUAUAUUUUCAUAUUGGCUCGAGAUUUAUGAGGUCCAUUGGUAGAAAUGCAUAAAGAGAUCAAAUUACACAGUAGCAGACUGACACCAGUGCUAUAGUACUAUCGUUCAUUGUGUUUUUCUGAUUGGCUUGUAAGGCAUAGUAUUUUGUGAAAUGCAUGGAUCAAAUGUCAUGCAGAUCUGCAGCACUGCUCUUUUAGUAUUCCUUUCAAGCCAAUGGCGCGCCACUUCCCGCAGCUCCCAUUGGGCUGGGAACGGCGAACUGAGGCCACAGGGAGCUGAGGGGCUCCAUGCCUGCAGACACUCCAGGUAAACAAAACGACAAUGUAUUAGAUAUUCAAUUCAAUGAUUCCAUAGAGUUUAAAAUCAUUAAAUUUUGGUGUAGACCCAUUUAUAAGCCAACCCCCGCUCUUUGAUGCGGCACUUUUUUACCAAAAAUAUUCGGCUUGUGAAUAUAUACAGUAUAUGUUUUUUAUUACUCCUUUUAAAUUGCAAACCUACUUGACUCAGUACCUUCUUUCAGAGCACAGAAUAGGAACAACAAGUCCUCUCAGACCUGCAAUGUGUUUAUUCCUGGAGCAUUUGGAACCCAUUAUUGCAACCAAAUAUGGUAAUAGUAUUUACUUGUCAACCUAUUUAAACUUGAUUACUUUACUAAGAAGAGCGUGGAUACCCACCAUCAUUUCCUUCUUGUUCCUUUUAUAGACUCUCAGCUGACAUUAAAAUUAGCAAUAAUUUUCAUACCAGUGCCCUUCUCUCAUCUAUAAGCUGUGAUUCAUCAAUUCUGGAACCACUGAAAAGACAAAAAAAAAUUGUUUUACUAAGCUGAAGGUCUACCCUUCAGGCUUGAAAAUUCACAGAAUAUUUUGAACAUCAAAAUCUCAAUACAUGUUUAAAUGCUAGGAGUGAGGAUUGUGAAGUUUGUGGUUUCUGCUCUUGCUUUGGCUUUAUGUAACACAAAACCAACUUUUAUAUUUUUAACAGGGCUUUGGAGCUGUGCUCCGGAGCAAGCUCCAGGCAAAAACCUGCAGCUCCACUGCUCCGGAGCUGCUCCGCACUCCAGCUCUGGGCUCCGCUCCAAAGCCCUGAUUUUUAAACUGAACAUUCCAGUUCAUAUAAACUAGUCAGUGGUUUGGGGUAUUUUGGAAACAAUAACUGAAAGAGGGUGUUGUUUCAUUCUGAAAGGCAGUGGUAAAUUUUGUUCAACAAACUUUCUAUACUGAUUUUAGUAUAUGGCUAGACUAUGCACACAACUAAGGCAUUCUGACUUGACAGAUCAAAUAUAACCGAAAAUGAUGCUUCCACAGGAGUAAUUUAGUCAAUGGUCCGUGUGUUAAGUAUUCUGUAGGGACUUGAUAUCGUUGGCCUCAUCUAAAGCCAAUUGAAGUCAAUGGGGGACUUUUUAUUGACUUCAGUGGGCUUUAGCUCAGACCACAUGGGAGCACAAAAUCAGUCAGAAAUAUGCAUUUUAAAAUGUCCUUUUCUACAGUUUUAAUGAUAAACCAUAAAGACUGACACAGAGCAUUAUGGAUAAUGAAAUAAAGGAUACGUAUUGCAAAAAAGACUAUCUGUACAUUUUCAUGAUAUCUAAGAUGCUCAUAUUUUCAAGCUGAAAAAUCAGGCACUAGUCUAUCAAUAUUUUUAAGAGUGCAAAAUAUUCACUCAAAAGACAAUUAUACUUUUUUAAAAGUAUAUUGGUGUCACUACUACCAGCUUCUGACUCAACAGCAACAUAUGCAUAUUUUGGAGGAUUUUUCCCUCAUAAAAUAUUAAUGUUCUGAGUGAAUCUAUCAUGAAACAAUAAACAGGUGUCUUAACCUUUAUUUUGAGCAAAUGAACAGUUCUGAUAGUAUAUAAACUCAUCAGAAUUUUUUCUUUUCACUCCAGACAUUGUUCAUCACACUGAACACUCAUUCCCCUGGAUUGUUUGCUCCUGGUAAACACAGAGCAAAUUCAACUUAGUAUGGCACUAUGUCCUGAACAAACAUUUUAUUAUAAAGAAAAAAUCUGAACAUGUUGACUGAUUAAAUGAAAAACCAGUAUAUCCCAGGUAUCUCAAAAAGAAGUUCCUGGGAUACCAAAACAUCAUAUGAAAAAACAGGCCAUUUCUGGAAAAAGCAGGAUAUAGGGUUUUGUUAACAGUAGCUCAAAUUGGAAAAAAUAAUUUCAGUGGUUCUCAACUCUCAAGCACUUCCAUGAGAUUUUUCUUAAAAUAAAUGUUUAAAAAACAAAACAGAAGACAUUUGCACCCAAAGUACAUUCUGUAUACACUAUUCAUAUAUUUUCCUCCUGUAAUACUACAUGUUUAGUUAAUUAAAAUUAACUAUUUCCAUUCAGUACAUCUGAAUGUACUUGAGCAUUAUCAUUCUCAUUUUACAGCAAGAAAAACUGAGGCACACAGCUAGUUAGUAAUUUGCUCAAGGUCAUACAGCAAGCCAUUGACAGAACUAUGACUAGAACCAACGAUUCCUAACUCCCAGUUACUUGCCCUAAGCACUAAACAUAUUCUGUUCUUUCAAAUGUGUAAAGAGUAGCAGGUUCCUACCAAAAGCAAAUAAAGCACACCAAUUAAGCAACAAAAAAGAAUAUUAUAAAUGCCUUUCACAAUAGUGUAUCUGAAAUUAUAGUGAAUCCAUCAAGUUUAGAUAAAAUUAAUGUUGCUUACUACCAACAACUUGAAGCACAACUUUACUUAGUAACAUUUUUUCAGUUAUUUCAUAUCUUUUAAUGAUGGUAAUAUCUCACUUUCAUGUUUUAGUUGCAAUCUGUCCUGUAAAAAUUACAGAAGUUAAUUGGACAUCAUUUCUUACAGCAGAAGACUACUCCUCUGAUUAAUAAAUGUAAUAUAAGCAUCAAAAAGGGAGAGGGACAUCAACUGAACAGAAAAUUACCUCUGUCGCCCUGGACAAGUUAUCUACCAGCUCUAGGCCUCAGUUCCCUGAUUAUAAAAUGAAGAUAAUAAUUCCUCAGAGGGGUGUAGUUAAUUAGUUAAUAAUCUACCAUAAAGUACUUUGAACAUGAAAACCACUGCAAAAAUUGUGGAGACCCCUAACAUGGAUUUAGUUUAAUUGUGCAAGGGGCUCGCAUUCCAUGGUGAUGAACACAAUAUAAACAUCUAGAUAUGAGGUUCUCAAACUUCAAUACAUCGAGACCCCCUUCUGACAACAAAAAUUGCUACACGACCCCAGGUGGGGGGACCAAAGUCUGAGCCUGCCUGAGCCUUGCCGUCCCAGACACAGGGGCCAGAGCCAAAGCCAAAGCCAGAGCCCCACUGCUCUGGAUGGGAGAGACAAAGCCAAAUCCCAAGGGCUUCAGCCCCAGGCAGGGGGCCUGUACCCUGAGGCCCUCCCCCCCCCCCACACACACACACACGCACUCAGUCCUGAAGCCCUUGGGCUUUGGCCCCGGCCAGUGGGGCUCAGGCUUCGGCCCUGGGCCCCAGCAAGACUAAUACCAGCCCUUGGCAACCCCAGUUUGACAACUGAUCUAGAUAGAUGGCUAUGUUAGAUUGGAUAAAGUGCUAACUACUAAUGUGCUUUCACAGGAGAAUUGUACAACUCCAUUUUUAAAUGGCUGCUAUGGAAAGAAAAAGAUCUAAUAAUAAGGGCCAGAUUCUCGCUUACGCUAAGGCCCCUUUACACUACCACAGUGGUGUAAAGAAACUUAACUGUAAAUAAGAAUCUGGACCUAAAACUGGUAUGGUUUUUUAAUGUGCAAAAAACAGUAUAAACUCUCUAAACUAGUGUCAAACUCAUACAUAUUUUGCUGUGAGAAAAACAGUGCUUUUACUUUAUCAUGUCAUUUCAUGUAUGCUUCUAAAAAUAAAUAACAUUUAUUUUA